rnacentral:rRNA from 1 species
AUGAACGCUAGCUACAGGCUUAACACAUGCAAGUCGAGGGGCAGCAUUUUAGUUUGCUUGCAAACUAAAGAUGGCGACCGGCGCACGGGUGAGUAACACGUAUCCAACCUGCCGAUAACUCGGGGAUAGCCUUUCGAAAGAAAGAUUAAUAUCCGAUGGUAUAUUAAAACCGCAUGGUUUUACUAUUAAAGAAUUUCGGUUAUCGAUGGGGAUGCGUUCCAUUAGUUUGUUGGCGGGGUAACGGCCCACCAAGACUACGAUGGAUAGGGGUUCUGAGAGGAAGGUCCCCCACAUUGGAACUGAGACACGGUCCAAACUCCUACGGGAGGCAGCAGUGAGGAAUAUUGGUCAAUGGACGAGAGUCUGAACCAGCCAAGUAGCGUGAAGGAUGACUGCCCUAUGGGUUGUAAACUUCUUUUAUAUGGGAAUAAAGUUUUCCACGUGUGGGAUUUUGUAUGUACCAUAUGAAUAAGGAUCGGCUAACUCCGUGCCAGCAGCCGCGGUAAUACGGAGGAUCCGAGCGUUAUCCGGAUUUAUUGGGUUUAAAGGGAGCGUAGGUGGAUUGUUAAGUCAGUUGUGAAAGUUUGCGGCUCAACCGUAAAAUUGCAGUUGAAACUGGCAGUCUUGAGUACAGUAGAGGUGGGCGGAAUUCGUGGUGUAGCGGUGAAAUGCUUAGAUAUCACGAAGAACUCCGAUUGCGAAGGCAGCUCACUAGACUGCAACUGACACUGAUGCUCGAAAGUGUGGGUAUCAAACAGGAUUAGAUACCCUGGUAGUCCACACAGUAAACGAUGAAUACUCGCUGUUUGCGAUAUACAGUAAGCGGCCAAGCGAAAGCAUUAAGUAUUCCACCUGGGGAGUACGCCGGCAACGGUGAAACUCAAAGGAAUUGACGGGGGCCCGCACAAGCGGAGGAACAUGUGGUUUAAUUCGAUGAUACGCGAGGAACCUUACCCGGGCUUAAAUUGCAUUUGAAUAAUCUGGAAACAGGUUAGCCGCAAGGCAAAUGUGAAGGUGCUGCAUGGUUGUCGUCAGCUCGUGCCGUGAGGUGUCGGCUUAAGUGCCAUAACGAGCGCAACCCUUAUCUUUAGUUACUAACAGGUUAUGCUGAGGACUCUAGAGAGACUGCCGUCGUAAGAUGUGAGGAAGGUGGGGAUGACGUCAAAUCAGCACGGCCCUUACGUCCGGGGCUACACACGUGUUACAAUGGGGGGUACAGAAGGCAGCUACCUGGCGACAGGAUGCUAAUCCCAAAAACCUCUCUCAGUUCGGAUCGAAGUCUGCAACCCGACUUCGUGAAGCUGGAUUCGCUAGUAAUCGCGCAUCAGCCAUGGCGCGGUGAAUACGUUCCCGGGCCUUGUACACACCGCCCGUCAAGCCAUGAAAGCCGGGGGUACCUGAAGUACGUAACCGCAAGGAGCGUCCUAGGGUAAAACUGGUAAUUGGGGCU